rnacentral:rRNA from 1 species
GAUCAUGGCUCAGGAUGAACGCUAGCUACAGGCUUAACACAUGCAAGUCGAGGGGCAUCACAGUGUAGCAAUACACGGGUGGCGACCGGCGCACGGGUGCGUAACACGUAUCCAAUCUGCCCGUUACUCGGGGAUAGCCUUCUGAAAGGAAGAUUAAUACCCGAUGGCAUUCAUUGGCGGCAUCGCUUAUGAAUUAAAGAUUUAUCGGUAACGGAUGAGGAUGCGUACGAUUAGCUAGUUGGCGGGGUAACGGCCCACCAAGGCAACGAUCGUUAGGGGUUCUGAGAGGAAGGUCCCCCACACUGGAACUGAGACACGGUCCAGACUCCUACGGGAGGCAGCAGUGAGGAAUAUUGGUCAAUGGGCGAGAGCCUGAACCAGCCAAGUAGCGUGAAGGAAGACUGCCCUAUGGGUUGUAAACUUCUUUUGUUCGGGAAUAAAGUGCAGUAUGUAUACUGUUUUGUAUGUACCGUUCGAAUAAGCAUCGGCUAAUUCCGUG